rnacentral:rRNA from 1 species
ACGCGUAUGCACUACCUAUAACUGGGGAACAACCCGAGAAAUCGGGGCUAAUACCGCAUAACAUCAUGAAGUGGCAUCACUUUAUGAUCAAACCUCAGGGGGUUAUAGAUGGGCAUGCGUGACAUUAGCUAGUUGGUGCGGGUAACGGCUCACCAAGGCUANCGAUGUCUAGGGGGUCUGAGAGGAUGAUCCCCCACACUGGUACUGAGACACGGACCAGACUCCUACGGGAGGCAGCAGUAAGGCAAUAUUGGACCAAUGGGCGCAAGCCUGAUCCAGCCAUGCCGAGUGCAAGGACUGAAGGCUGUCAUGCAUCGUACACACUGCUUUCAUACAAGACUAACACUCCCUUCACGUGUGAACGGAUUUGACUUGUACCUGUCACAGANAUACAGCNAUCGGGCUAAACUUUAACGUGGCCNAAGCAAGGCCGACGGAUAAUUACCGAANAGGGGAAUGCAAAUGCGCGGGUUAAUCCCGGGAUUUAAAAUUUGGGGCUACUANAAAAGGGGGUGNCAGUAAAGGGACGAGGAACNAUUGUAUAAAGAUCUUACAGUGGAGUGANAAAAAAACGACCCGNGACAAAAGCAUUUAAACACA